rnacentral:snRNA from 1 species
AUACUGGCAGCACAUAUAUGAAAAUUGGAACAAUACAGAGAAGAUUAGCAUGACCCCUGCACAAGGAUGACAUGCAAAUUCAUGAAGUGUUCCAUGUUUUU